GACGAACGCUGGCGGCGUGCUUAACACAUGCAAGUCGAACGGUGAAGCGCCUUCCUUUUUGGUGGGUGUGGAUGAGUGGCGAACGGGUGAGUAACACGUGAGUAACCUGCCCCCUUCUUCUGGAUAACCGCAUGAAAGUGUGGCUAAUACGGGAUAUUCUGGGUCUGUCGCAUGAUGGGUCUGGGAAAGAUAUUGUUUCGGUGGGGGAUGGGCUCGCGGCCUAUCAGCUUGUUGGUGGGGUGAUGGCCUACCAAGGCGGUGACGGGUAGCCGGCCUGAGAGGGUGGACGGUCACACUGGGGAUGAGACACGGCCCAGACUCCAACGGGAGGCAGCAGUGGGGAAUAUUGCACAAUGGGCGCAAGCCUGAUGCAGCGACGCCGCGUGAGGGAUGGAGGCCUGCGGGUUGUGAACCUCUUUCGCCAGUGAAGCAGGCCUGCCUCGUUUGUGGGUGGGUUGACGGUAGCUGGAGAAGAAGCGCCGGCUAACUACGUG
rnacentral:rRNA from 1 species